GUUCCUGUGGUGAAGUUAGAAUCACACGUCUCUGCGAAGGACGAGCCCCGAGUGCGAAUCUCGGCAGGAACACCA
rnacentral:tRNA from 1 species